rnacentral:tRNA from 1 species
GGGGAUUUAGCUCAGUGGUAGAGCGCUUGCCUAGGAAGCGCAAGGCCGUGAUUCAGUCCCCA